rnacentral:rRNA from 1 species
UACGUAGGGUGCAAGCGUUGUCCGGAAUUAUUGGGCGUAAAGAGCUCGUAGGCGGUCUGUCGCGUCUGCUGUGAAAACUCAGGGCUUAACCCUGAGCUUGCAGUGGGUACGGGCAGACUAGAGUGCGGUAGGGGAGACUGGAAUUCCUGGUGUAGCGGUGAAAUGCGCAGAUAUCAGGAGGAACACCGGUGGCGAAGGCGGGUCUCUGGGCCGUAACUGACGCUGGAGGAAGCGGAAAGCAUGGGGAGCGAACAG